rnacentral:rRNA from 1 species
CAGUAGCCGCGGUAAUGCGUAGGUGGCAAGCGUUGUCCGGAAUUAUUGGGCGUAUAGGGCUCGCAGGCGGUUUCUUAAGUCUGAUGUGAAAGCCCCCGGCUCAACCGGGGAGGGUCAUUGGAAACUGGGAAACUUGAGUGCAGAAGAGGAGAGUGGAAUUCCACGUGUAGCGGUGAAAUGCGUAGAGAUGUGGAGGAACACCAGUGGCGAAGGCGACUCUCUGGUCUGUAACUGACGCUGAGGCGUGAAGGCGUGGGGAGCAAACAGGAUUAGAUACCCCCGUAGUCCCUGUCUCUUAUAC